rnacentral:lncRNA from 1 species
UACUACAACAUCACUUUUCAAGAAGGUCGCCCCAUCGACUCAUACCCAAUCGAGGGGUUGGAUACCCAUGACGAGCUGGCCGAAGAGCAAGGAGAGCCUGUUCAGAAUCUUAUCUCCAUUCUACUGGCGGAUGGAAAUCCAAAGCAUGCAGUCCAGGUUGGAUCAAACCUAGAUGAGGUAAUGAAAAACUAGCUAACCUCUUUUUUAUAGAUGAACUCGGACGUCUUCCUUGGAUGUUGGUGGAC